GAUGUAGAUUUAUAGCCCAUAACUUUUUUGAAUUCCAUCGACGAUAUGGCGUCGAAAGAAACAUAAAUAGACCGUAUAAAAGAAAAAA
rnacentral:ncRNA from 1 species